CCGAAAUCUGGGUGGCGGAGUAGUUACCAAUGCCACUGAUGAGGCUCUUACUACAAAUGCUACCUUCGCUUAACGACAACGGAAGCACCCGUGACAACGAUACCUGUGGAUUUAACAGAUGGCUUCAACACGUCAUGGAGGACAUUAGUGGCUGUUAUACCUCCUAUCCUUGUAUUCUUUGCUAUAUGCAUUGGCUUCAUGAUAUAUGAAAAAAAGAGCUAUCGCCGUAGAUAAGGCGGUUUAAGCAACAGACGGAGAAAGCCCUAGUCAUUGAAGUGGACGAUUUCGAUCGGUAACAGUGCAGCUUACUAAGACCAGGCAAGAUUGACAUAUCUAUAGGCAUGCUCCGUGUUGCCUGUGACGACGA